UGUCAUCCCCUUCACCGAGCCGGACGCGCCGCCGCACGCACGCCGAGGCCGACUCGGACCAAUCCGGCGCCUGGUCCGACCCCGUGCACCCCUGGGACUCCCCGCUCGAGCAAAAGCCAUCGGGAACCCUAGCGCACGCCCUCCCCUUUCUUUCCUCGUCUACUCAAAGCCGCUGCGUCGUUUGGAUCUCGCCGGAGGAGCUCCGUGGCCGCUGUCGUCAUCGCUCGUUUGCGCCGCCCAAAGGGAGAGGAACCCGCCGGCCGACUUCACCGGAGCUCGCCGGAGUUCGCGCCGCCGCUGUCUGUAGAGGACGCCCCCGUCGCCGUACUCACCACCACCACCUCCGCCACUCAAAGCUGCACCCAUCCGUCCCUUCGUCUUCGCCGGAGACCACCGGAGGAGCGCCGCCGCCGACGCCCGAAGCCACCGCCGUUUUUUCCUCUGUUUCCGAUUGUCCGGAGUGCGACGCGAACUAUUGUCAGGAGUGUGACCUUCUGAACCAGAACCAAGGCAAGUUACAUGUUGAUCAUCCUUUACCUAUUGUUUUCUAUGCAUGUAGUUAUAUCACACUAUGAAUAUAUGCAUGUAUAGGAUUACUAUAUGAUUUUGCUAUGCUGUUGAGCCAUCUUCCCGUCUUUUGCAAAUUGUGGUAGUUGUAGUUUGCUAUGCUUUGUAGACGGGGUGGUUAGUGUAUUCAUUGAGUGUACGUGAGGAUUAUAUAUAUAUAUAUAUAACAAUUGAGUAGUAACUCAGGAUUUAACUCACCUCUGGGCGGAAGUGGUAUUGCUUGGUGUUGAGGGAAGGCAUCAUGGGGUCUUGCACCUUUUC